UCAACCUCCAGAUUCAAUCUACGCCAGCAUCAUGCCCACCUCGCGGGCCGCCCAUUCACCUUCACCGUGCGGCAGCAGCCCUUCCCCGAAGCGCUACCCUCCGCCGGUAGCUCCGCCCACCAUCGAAUCCCUUUUUCGUCCACUGGCAACCUCGGUAGUUGGAGCACGUCGGCGUCGGUCGUCCUCACCGUCGCCAUGUCGAGCUCCUCCCGACGUUGUCCUCACCGUCACCUAGCUGCACCCACGUUGGUGUCAUCCGCCACCCGAAGAUCUACUGUGUGUUCCGUCGAUGCACCGCCCCGCAAGCAUCUUCAGUCUCCGGCACGUCAAGCAGGCACUGAACCAUCACUGGCCCCCGUGCGUUCGUACGUGCAGCUCCAGGGCGUCCUGCGACCGUCCUCCUCUGUCUGCUAGUGCUACAGUACACACUCUUUUUAUUUGUGCGUUCAUGUUCAGAUCAUCACGGUACAUAAUCGAUUGAUUUUUUAUCUGUCAAACAGUGUUGGCCUGCUACUAACCAGUAACUAGUACUGAACUAUGAACUUUUCAUCUUGUAAAGUCGUAAUGUUCAGUGCCAAUGGGAGGGAAGUUGUUCGCUUCUGUUAACUUAUUAUUCGGUUGUAUAUUAGCUACUACUCCCUCCGUUCCUAAAUAUAAGUCUUUUUAGAGAUUUCAAUAUAGACUACAUACGGAUGCAUAUAGACACAUUUUAGAGUGUAGGUUCAUUCAUUUUUCUCCUUAUGUAGUCCAUAUUAGAAUCUCUAAAAAGACUUAUGUGUAGGAACGGAGGGAGUAGUAAUUAUUGUGCACUGCUUGUUUUGUUUUAUGUAGAAAUGCAGAUAAGAGACAAUAAGUAAAAUUCAAUCUCCCCCAGGAAUCAAUUUCUCCUUUUAUUAGAGUUGAUUUCAGCGUCUCGGUGGAUUUUUGGGUGACGACGCGUGUAAUUUUGGGGGAGGAGCAGGGGUAAGCAUUAUGAUUUACACAUUCAUCUUGCGAUUAUGGUGGGUUAGGAUGUUCAUUCUGUUUUUAUUGGCAACAGCUUCAAACGCCUCUUCCCGAAUUUUCUAGACCGCUAUUUUAGGAGUAUAUAACCCCCACCUAUUGGAUGACCAACCCAUGUCACCGCGUACACCACUGUGGCCGCCACUUGACGGCAGGUGGUGGACACCAAUGCAACCACACUGGCGGCUUCCCUUGCCUAGCUACACGUUGCAUCUCUGUUUCAUCUUCGCUAGGUAAUUUGUGUACUUCUGCUCUCUUUUCUCUCUGUCUAAGCAUGUGCUUAUUAGUGAUUAGCACUCACAUCAUAACUAUUACUAGCUUAGAGGGCAGUUUUUAUUCUCUAAACUGUAUUUCUUACAUCUGUAAUAAUAAAACAUGUGGAAGGGGGGUUCUUUUCAUUCUUCAUUGUGAUAUCUGAUUGCAGCAAGUUUUAAUUCUACAAGUAGAUGAAUCGUUAUUUCUUUCAAAUUCAGAUCUAAUGGUGGGUGUAUAGUACAGAAAAUUGUAUACCUAACUGGUCCUUAAUCUAAGAAGAAUGUUUAUCAGGUAUUGUGUGCAGGUUUGUGGGGAUGACACAUAUUUGGAGGUCCAGCUCCUGCUUGCAUGCACAAAAAGUUCAUGAUUUGCAUCUCUAAUAUAACAUGCUUGAUGACUAUGUAGUAAAGUUCAUUCGGAACUUAGUUCUGGCGACAUGGGUCUUGGGGAGUAUAUUGGGUUCCAAUACAAUUGAGCAUGAUUUAUUGGCAGUAUACUACAAAACUACAUUAUUCCCAGGUCAAGCAUUACAUUUUGGGCAUAACUUUACGUGCAAUGCAAGUCAGCAAAACAGAUGAGAUUUUUUUUCUUACUCCAAAACCACUUAAUUUUUCUCUACUGAUUUCCCCUUUGGAUCUUUGUAGGAGAUAAUGGCAAAUCGAUUUGAUAUUUUUAGCAGUACUAUUUAUAUUUUAUUUUCCAAGAAAUACUCAAAAGUAUUGGUGGUAUGACAGUUGAGUACAUUUCUUGAUCUUUUAUUAUGAGCACAUGCUUUUUCCUAUCUAAUAUUAGGACUACGCAUCGUUGUGAUCCGUGUAAUAUGGGGCUUAAUGAUUUGAGAGUCGUUGUCCCUAAAUUAUUCUAAAAUGGCUGGUGGGUUUUUAUGUAUCCAUCAGCAGCUUUAGUUUUUGUGAACAUAUUUGUCUAACAGUUGAGUACAUUUACCAGCAAUAUAGAAAUGAAAAUUGCUAAUGACCCAUAUGAUUGCUUUCACUAGCGAGCUCAGGUGACAGUUCAGAGAGCAACUUCAAUGUUCUCUAAUAUCUGAUUGACCCACAAAGAUUUUUUAUUGAUGUUCUAGUACUGCAUACUAAUGUAUUUUCAAUGCAUAUUUUAUAGCUUAGGGUGUGAAAUAUUCAUUUGGUGCAGCUUGCGAUCAUCAACUAUUUAAGACUGGUGAAAUUUAUGGUGUUGUGGAACUAUUGAAGUUAGUACAAAGUCGAGACACUUAUAUUGAGAUGGAGGGAUUAUAAGUUUACUUAUAGUUGAACUGAACCUCAAAUGUAGAAAGCAGAUGGUGGUCAAGAAUCGGAAAAUGCUCAUGCUUGAAAUAGCAAUGUGACCAAGAAAGGUGGUACUGAAUCAAGUGUAUAACUUCCUGUGUCACUAAGCACAUCAAGAAAAUACAUUUGUUGGCAGUAUGUUUGGCGAAGUAUCUUGGUUUUUUAGGUCAAAAAGCCAAAGCUGACCACUUCAACACAACCUAAGACAUUGGUGCUCCAAGACAACCUCAAGAAAUUUCUACGGCUAGCUGAGAGUUUAGAAUUGGAACACAUUGCAGGAGCAAGCAGCAACUACGCAAGAAUUAGUCUUUAAAUGAACACAUAUUAUGUACAAUGUAUGGAAAGCUUAGUUCUACUUUGUACUAUAUAUAUUCUCUUACUUAUUUACAUCUUUCA